rnacentral:sRNA from 1 species
UUAUUUUCAGUGCUGCCUUUGAACUUAAGAGUGAGAUUCAUUGAUGAUAAUUGAAGUAUUUUAGGCUUGAAAAAAAAUUCAUCUCCUGCUUGGUCAGUUCUGUUAUAAGCAAGGAGAUUAAGGGCAUGAAUAGGCUGCUUACUUAUCUUUGCCUUCAGUAUCUCUCCCCCUCUUCCCCACACACAAAAAUGCACUCCAGACUGCUCUUCACAUCUUCCUUCAGGGCGUAUCCUGGAUCUAAAGACUGGAACAGUGAAAAAGGAAGGUCAGCAGUCUUCCAUGAGAAUGUGUAUGGGCUCAAGGAGAUCGUUUAUUUGCCGAAUGAGGUGUGGCAGUAGCUCUGUGGACCCAGUUUCUGUGAAUAGGCUGAGCUUUGUGAGGAACAGAUGCAGGAAUGGACUUGGCUCUGUAAAGGAUGGGGAACCUCACUUCGUGGUGGUCCACUGCACAGGCUACAUCAAGGCCUGGCCCCCAGCAGGUGUUUCCCUCCCAGAUGAUGACCCAGAGGCUGGCCAGGGAAGCAAGUUUUGCCUAGUGGCCAUUGGCAGAU